rnacentral:lncRNA from 1 species
CUCCAAAGUGACCAAUGACCGCCUGUGGUCACUCUGUGUCCACCAAUGACCACCUGUGGUCACUCCAAAGUGACCAAUGACCGCCUGUGGUCACUCUGUCCAUCACUGACCACCUGUGGUCACUCUGCGGCCACCUCAAGGCCACCCUUGACCCCCUUUGUCCACCCCAAAGUGACCACUGACCACUCUAGAGUGACCAUUGGUCACUUGUGGUCAUCUUGACCACCCCAGAGUGACCACUGAGUGCCCAGAGUGACCACUGAGUGCCCAGAGUGACCACUGCCCACCACUGACCAUCGGUGACCACCUCAAAGUGACCACUGGUCAUUCAUGGUCACUUUAAAUGACCACUGGUUACUCUGGGUCACUCUAAAUGACCACUGGUCACUCCUGGUCACUCCAAAGUGACCGCUGACCAUCCCAGGCCAUCUCUGACCAUCUCAGAGUGACCAUUGGUCACUCCUGGUCACCCUAAAUGACCAAUGGUCACUCGAAGGUCACCCCAAAGUGACCACUGGUCACUCCUGGUCACUCUAAAGUGACCACUGACCACCCCAGGCCACCCCAAAGUGACCACUGGUCACUCUGAGGCCACCACUGGUCACUCCUGGUCACUCCAAAGUGACCACUGGUCACUCUUGACCGGUCACGGCCACCCAAAACUGACCAUUGGUCACUCGUGGCACCUCAGAGUGACCACUGGUCACUCCUGACCACUUGUGGUCACUCUAAGGUGACUCCUGGUCACCCAUUGGUCACUCUAAAGUGACCACUGACCAUCCCAGGCCAUCCUUGACCACCCCAAAGUGACCACUGACCACCCAGAGUGACCACUGACCGUCACUGACCACCCAGAGUGACCACUGGUCACUCCUGUUCAUUCCAAAGUGACCAUUGGUCACUCGUGGUCACUCUAAAUGACCAGUGGUCACUCUAAGGUCGCCCCAAAGUGACCAGUGGUCACUUCCAGCAAGCUUGACGACCCCAAAGUGACCACUGGUCAUUCUAAGGCCACCACUGGUCACUCUUGGUCACUCCAAAGUGACCAUUGGUCACUCGUGGCCACCCAAAACUGACCAUUGGUCACUCGUGGUCACUCUUGACCAGUUCUGGUCACUCAUGGUCACUCCCAGGCCACC